CAAUCAAGAACCGCCGCUUGGGCAGCUCAACUUCCGGGUCAAAGGCUCACCAGCCUGCGGUGCCCGGUGUGCCCGGUGUCCGCGGCCGUCGCUGUCCCCCGCGCCCCGCACUUCCGAGACCGCAGUUCCGGGCAUGGAGUGUCGCGCGUGAGGCACCGCCGGCCCCGGGACGCCCUGCCCUGUCCGGCCCCCCGCCCAGCCUUGCAUCCCGUGGGCUGUUCCUUCUGCCACUCACCCCAUCUCCCUCUGGAGCACCGGCCUGCUUUCGAAGAGCUGGGACUGGUGCCCAGGAGGUGUGGACCGCAGUCACCAGUUCCCAGCUGGGUCCUGGGGAAACCGGGCACUGAGGGACGCUUCUCUCCCAAGUGCAACCCUGGGCGCGCUGGCAGCCCCACGGGGCUGGGAGGCUCAGCUAGAGUCUAGCCAGGUAGACAGGGUUAGGCCCCACAGGCGGGGAUUCAAUCCCCGAUGGAAAGUCCGUGCCCCUCGCCUACAGUUACCAUGGAAACUCCUUGGCCCCUUUAGAAGGUCAGUCCCACUGGGCCAAGGUCUGGGUGGCUCAGGGUGGGCUGGGAGGUGGGGAUCAGCUUGCUGGAGAAUGCGGAAGUUGACAGGAAGUGGCUUUGUGUGGCCCUGAGGUCACUGACCCUGGGGCCAGGGCUGCUUCAUUGUGCAUGCCUGCUUGCAGGCUUUUCCUUUCCUAAGCCCUGGCUCCAGCCACCCUCCAAGGUUCACAAAGGGGCACUGACCCCGUGGCUGGGAGGUGCCCCCACCCCACCCCCAGCUCAUCUGACAAAAUACCACUUUUCACUUUUCUAUGUUCUGAAAGGAACU
rnacentral:lncRNA from 1 species